GAUGAACGCUGGCGGCGUGCCUAAUACAUGCAAGUCGAGCGAACGGACGAGAAGCUUGCUUCUCUGAUGUUAGCGGCGGACGGGUGAGUAACACGUGGAUAACCUACCUAUAAGACUGGGAUAACUUCGGGAAACCGGAGCUAAUACCGGAUGAUAUUUUGAACCGCAUGGUUCAAAAGUGAAAGACGGUCUUGCUGUCACUUAUAGAUGGAUCCGCGCUGCAUUAGCUAGUUGGUAAGGUAACGGCUUACCAAGGCAACGAUGCAUAGCCGACCUGAGAGGGUGAUCGGCCCACCUGGAACGGAGACCCGGUCCAGACUCCUACGGGGGGCAGCAGUAGGGAAUCUUCCGCAAUGGGGGAAAGCCUGACGGAGCAACGCCGCGUGAGUGAUGAAGGUUUUCGGAUCGUAAAACUCUUUUAUUAGGGAAGAACAUAUGUGAAAGUAACUGUGCACAUUUUGACGGUACCUAAUCAAAAAGCCCCGGCUAACUACGU
rnacentral:rRNA from 1 species